rnacentral:rRNA from 1 species
AUUGAACGCUGGCGGCAGGCCUAACACAUGCAAGUCGAGCGAGCGGCGGACGGGUGAGUAAUGCCUGGGAAUUGCCCAGUCGAGGGGGAUAACAGUUGGAAACGACUGCUAAUACCGCAUACGAUUGGAUUGCCCAGGUUGGCUUAGCUAGUUGGUGAGGGACUUGCUCACCAAGGCGACGAUCCCUAGCUGGUCUGAGAGGAUGAUCAGCCGCACAUGAACGGAGACACGGUCCAGACUCCUACGGAAGGCAGCAGUGGGGAAUAUUGCACUAUGUGGUGAACCCUGAUGCAGCCAUGCCGCGUGUGUGAAUAAUGCCGUCGGGUUGUAAAGCACUUUCAGCGAGGAGGCGUUACUCGCAGAAGAAGCACCGGCUAACUCCGUGCCAGCAGCCGCGGUAAUUC